CAGGAAGCGCUGGAACUGGCUCUUUGUACAGUUAUAAUAUCAUCCUCCAUAAACCUUCGGCCCCGCAGUGCAUCCGCUUGUGGGAGCUGUGAGCACGUGAGGACAUCAUCAGGCCUCCAGUUCAUCUCUGGGUCCACAUCACACCUCCACCAGACCUCCUCCCUAGGUCUGCUACAACUUGUAUCAGAGCACGGCAUCUCGGCUGCAAUUCAUCCCAACUCCCCUCUCAUUCACAGAGCCACCGCAUAUUCUGAGGAAACACAGCGGGGUUCUGAUGGAAGUGAACAAGAAAAAAGAGAAAAAGCAUGGCAGGGAAACAUUUUCAGCGUCAAUCUUGUGGAAAAACUCAGAAGCCUGGGCCUGUACAAAGUGGUUGCCAGAGGCUUUGUGGAUUUUGGUCGAAAAGAAAAACCAGCCCCCCAUGAAACACAAAAAGACGUUCACCAUUAAAGGUGCCAUUUUGUGCAUCACCCUCAUUGUAGCAUGCAGCUAAACUUUUCCAAUUUGUAAUGGGCCAUUCCGAAAGCCAUAUCAAGUUUUUAUUUCUGUAGUGACUUCUUAUUGGCUUUGGGAAUUUUAAGUAUGGACUGCACCUCAAAAAAUUCUGAAGUCAAACACACCUGUGUUUAUAUCAUUGUUAUUGCAGGGUGUUUUAAACUCUUCAGAAGGGAAUAGCUGUACAUAUGUUGACUUUUUAACAUGUCCUCUUUUGUUGAGACUUUGUCUGUCACUAUCAGUCUUGAAAUCACAGUUUUAUUGUUAUGAAAUUGUAGCAGCACUACAGAAAAAUGCACUACGUGGCCUCAAUUUUUGCUUGCUGCCAACCAAGCAUCGGUGUCAGUAGUGCGUUUUGCUUCAUAAUAGCACUUUUCAGGGCAUUCAAAUCCCUUUUCUUGAGGAAUGCAGGGUACAUUAUGUGAGGUUACGUACUGUACCUGCAGUCUAAACGCUGUAAAAAUGAGAAGCUGUAUUCAUGAUGACUGUUGGUGGUCGAUUUAGGGAACAUUAUAGUCUUGUUGAGUGAAUAGAAGUGAUCUUGUGCUUUAUUUUCACUGUGCUUUAAUGCAAGAACACCUCAUGUGAUGGUACACCAUGCACACACGUAUGUCAUGCAACUUUAACACGUUUUCACCUUAAUGUUUGUAAUGCAUAUGAUUGUGUUUUGCAAGAAUCAGGGAUGCAGUAAUAAAGUUAAGUGCUCUAGAGCCGUAAAUUGUGAAUACACAAUCGGGUAAUUCUAACACAGAGUCGUCUAGGGGUGAAUUUGUAUCACAGGAUUAUUCAUUGAACACAGCUUUGUUUUCUUCUCCAUCAACAUCUUCCAUUGUGUCCACUUGUGUUUGUCAACCAAGUGAACAGAAAUAUGGUAAUCUGUAUAUGGAGAAAGCCUUGUAUGCAUUUGAGAUUUUCAAAGGGGCAUGAUAAGGUGUAGUAUUUACUGAUCUAAAGUCUCAGACAAAAUGGUUAUUUAAAAAGUAAUAUAUUUAAAUAAAAAUGUCUACCUGAAAUGCCACUCUGUGUAAAACACAAUGCAUGGUCGCCAUUUUUGUAGAAUAUGUAAAGUGUUGUUUUAAAACAGAUUUAAGUCAGUAAAAGUAAACAUUUAUGUAAAGUAUUGUUAAUUUACACAAAUAUGAGAGGCUAAUAGCGGAGUAAUCAUUGUAUUUUUACAUUAGAACAAUGUUUAGACACUUAGCCUCACAUAAAAGCCCAUGAGUUCACAAGUAACUGUUUCAGGCACUGAUAUUGUGUAUAGCAAUAAAGAUUUCAGUGUAUUUUUGACCUAUAUGUUUUUAUUUGUUUAUGUGUGAACUGUUU
rnacentral:lncRNA from 1 species